UGACACCAGAGCGUGUAAACAUGUUAAUGUUUCUUAACAAAAAUCAGCAGUAGAGUUGAAAUUCUAAUCAGACUUUUUGUGUUUUUGGAUGGCUCAGGGAUAUUUAUGUAAAAAGUUGAACAAAAAAGUGGGGGAGUACUUGUGGCACCUUAGAGACUAACAAAUUUAUUUG